rnacentral:lncRNA from 1 species
CAGACAUCUGAUGGAGGAGGCCUAGGCAUCUGAUGGAGGAGGCCCAGGCAUCUGAUGGAGGAGGUCUAGACAGUGGCUGGAAGAGCCUGGGCAUCAGAUGGGUCCUCAGGCCUCACUACUGCUGCCACUGCCCCCUCUGCUGCUGCCUCGCUCCACCCACACAAGGCGAGCCUGUUCCUGCAAGAUUCGGCCACGCACCACCUUGGCCAGCUCCUCUGCAUGGCCCCACGCAUGCGCAGGCACCUGCACCCAGGAACACGGCAGUCCCCAGAG